UAAAAACCUCUGCAACUUGUGGGGACAUAUUAAUAACGUACAAUUUAAGGGUGAUGCCUUUCAGUGCCCAGUCCAGGCCCUUGCGAUACUGCAGUCCAUAGUCUUGGAACUCUAUAGUGCCAGUCUGAGGCCAGGCCAGAGGCAGGGAACUGCCCUCCACGGUCCACACAGCCUGGCUUUAUUUUUAAAAAAUCUGAAAACGGAACAAUGUACACCUGUCACCACAUCAACUGGAUAUAUUAUUUUCCCAGAGCAUGUACUGCAAGGUGAAUGUGUUGUUUCUAUCAAACCUAACCUGGUGGCCACAAAGCGGGGGAAGUAGGAG